UGCCCCUCUGCUGCUAUGUAUCACAAGGCAACAAAACGUAACAGAAUGUUGGGGAAGUUCCACCUCUACUGCCAUCCCACCAGCAACAGCCUCUGACUUUGUGGCCCAACAUUAAAACAUAGGAGGCAUUAUUUUUGGAGCAGCCCUCAUAAAAUUCCUCUUUACCUUGCUAAAACUAUUAAUUACACAACAUUAAUAAACAAUUCAAAAAAGACCAAAGUCAUAUUUUAGAAGGCCAGAUCAACAAAGCAUCUUGAAAAUAACACUACUACAAGCAGGAAAACAACAGAACUGGAAGAUGAAAUACCUGUCCAAGUGGCAUGAGGCUCUAUCUGGAAUGCGUAACCAAACACCACUGUGAAAGUAAUAGUGCCACAAAAUACCGCUAUGGGACAGACAAGGCACAGUGAGCUUCUGGGGUGGAGACAACAAGGAAAAGGAAAUAAAUCUCUCCAAAACACAUUACCAUGCUAAUCAGUCAGUGCUCCUCUGGAAGGCAGCCAUGAUCAACAGCCUUAGAGAAAAAUCCCAAAACACAGCCAGAGGAGGGAAGGAGACUGUGCAAAAGGACCAGGAAAACAAGUUACAGCCAAUAUGGAGCUUCUUAGCUGGACACCAUUUGGAAGAAAGGCAGAAAAGCAGCAACAACCCUAUGGCAGUUCCAGUUUGCUCAAUAGAUUUCAGUAGUUAAUUUCCAUUGGCAAACAGUAUACGUGACUACAUAAUGUCUAUCCACGUUGUAUUUCUGCUAGGCCCCUUCUGGCUUCUUUACCAAACUAUUUUCUUAUUCCCCCUCCCUGAAUUUUCC
rnacentral:lncRNA from 1 species